rnacentral:rRNA from 1 species
ACUCCUACGGGAGGCAGCAGUAGGGAAUAUUGGACAAUGGGCGCAAGCCUGAUCCAGCCAUGCCGCGUGAGUGAAGAAGGCCCUUCGGGUUGUAAAGCUCUUUGUUUGGGAAGAAAAGCCUUGGGUUAAUACCCCGGGUCCUGACGGUACCAAAGAAUAGCACCGGCUAACUUCGUGCCAGCAGCCGCGGUAAUACGAAGGGUGCAAGCGUUACUCGGGAAUUACUGGGCGUAAAAGCGUGCGUAGGGUGGUUCGUUAAGUCUGAUGUGAAAAGCCCUGGGCUCAACCUGGGAAUUGCAUUGGAUACUGGCGGGCUAGAGUGCGGUAGAGGGUAGUGGAAUUCCCGGUGGUAGCAGUGAAUGCGUAGAGAUCGGGAGGAACAUCUGUGGCGAAGGCGACUGCCU